rfam:Gorilla gorilla gorilla genomic chromosome, chr1, whole genome shotgun sequence
GCUGGGUGUGGUGAUGCACGUCUGUAAUCCCAGUUACUUGGGAGGCUGAGGCAGGAGAAUCGCUUGAACCCGGGAGGUGGAGGUUGCAGUGAGCCGAGAUUGCGCCACUGCCCUCCAGCCUGGGUGACAGAGCGAGACUCCACCUCAA